rnacentral:lncRNA from 1 species
UACUUUCUUUACUUAUUUAUUUAUAUUUAUUUUCUGCCUGUUGACCAUUAUCUCGUCAUGUCUGUUUUGGCUUCCCCCCCCCCGUGCAGCCUGUCUGCAGGUGAGUCCUGACCGGUCUCAGUUCUUCAGGUACGACUCCAUCACUCUGAGCUGUGAGGAUCAGUUGAACUCCACCGGCUGGAAGGUGAAGAGGAAGACGCCGGAGGGCGGGGUCAGACCCUGCUCCUCCGGCUGGGGCACCUCCUCCUCGGGCUCGACCUGCAUCAUCGGAAACACCUACCCGUCUGACAGCGGCGUGUACUGGUGCGAGUCCAGAGCCGGGGAGAGGAGCAACGUGGUCAACAUCACCAUCACCGGUACCGCACACGACACACGUUUAGCACGAGACGUUUCCUCAGAAUCCUGAAGUUAAAUUAGAAAUAUGAGUUUCUUUCUACUCCAAAGAUCACACUGUGCUCCUGAAGUGUCCGGCCCUCCCUGUGAUGCAGGGCGCUGCUGCGACUCUGCACUGUGAAGCUGAGAUGUACUCCUCCAACCACACGUUCGAUUUCCAUAAAGAUGGCCGUUUCCUCGGCAGCAGCCCCACGGGAGAGAUGAUGCUCCACAGUGUGUCCAGGUCUGAUGAGGGACUCUACACGUGCAGCAUCCCUCGAGUGGGAGAAUCAGUCGGCAGCUGGCUGAAUGUUGAUGGUUCUCUUCCAUCUUCAUCUUCGGCUCCGCCUGCAGCUUCCUGGUCAGUUUCUGUCCCCAGGCUGAUGCGCCACCUGCUGGUGGGAGCUCCUUACCUGCUGUCCACCAUCUUACUGGGGCUCAUAUACAGAGACAGAGCCAGAGCAGCUCGGACGGCCAUGGAGAGAAGAGGCAGCAGCGAGGUCAUCAUGGAAGUCGUCGUUUAGUCCUACAAAGACGUCACUCGCAGCACAGGAGGUCCUUUAACGCUGGAGACUCACUGCAACACAGUACGGACACAUUCCGAUCUAAAUAAAUACAAUUUAAGGAUGUUUUUAUAUGUUUGUUGCUUCAUGAACUUCUGUGAUUCGCUAUUAAAGUGAAAGUUGUGUUUCGCUCGUUUGGAUUAGAGAAACGUAAAUUCUUUAUUUGACAUUAGGACACACGAUGCACCUUUCUUGUGUUAAAGGCUGACGGGGGCGUGCAGGAUGUUUGUGGUUUGUCUUCAUCAUGCAGACAUGGAAGUGAAGUUUUCUGUUGUUUUGUUUUUUCGGUUUCACAUUUAAUCUCUUUUACUCAAAACUCUCUGAAUACAAUUAGCUGUUAUUAUUCAUUCUUAUUCUCCUCAAGUAUGAAUGUUACUUUGAUUUCCAGACAGGAAAAGCUCGAACGUGUUGAGUUAUUGUCAGAGAUCUUUAUUUUUGUGUGGUCAGUUUAUGUUGACGUGAUUCGUAUGAAAGUAGGUCGUUGUUCUAAGAAGUGGAACAUUGUUCCGCUUUAAACCCACACAAACAUGUCCGAUUAAACUAAAACUGCUGAUUUUAUUCACUGAUUUAUUUUGUGUUUCUCACGGAAACUCUUGUUUGUUGAGUGAAGUUUCUCCUUGUUGUAUAAAUAUAACAAUAAAUCUGUUUAAAGGUUUAAUUCACAGCGUGUCCUCCGUGUGUUGUAGAAAAGAAUCCCAUACAUGUUAAUAAUACAUUCGUGUUUUAUUAAACAAUCACAGUAAAAGGUUUUAGAAUAUUAUUAUUAUAUUCCUAUUUGAUAUAUCCUGCAUUACAGAUGUUUCAAAAUUCUUCACAAAACAUUUAGAAACAAUGUCAUUAGAAACACAAUCAUUGCAACACUGAUACCUGAGAUAGUUUAGAAAAUCAUGAUUUAGUGGCUCAAAACCAGACAGAUACAGAUACAGAUAUAAAAACCAGACAGAUACAGAUAUAAAAACCAGACAGAUACAGAUAUAAAAACCAGACAGAUACAGAUACAGAUAUAAAAACCAGAAAGAUACAGAUACAGAUAUAAAAAAUGCCCAAAUCUGCAUGUUAAUCAAGAAUAUUCUAAAAUCCCGCAACACACAAGAGAUUUAAUAAUUUUCACAUAGUUCUGGAUGAAACUUCAAUGAUUUCAUGGUCAACAUGGCAGCCAUGUGUUGUUCUUAGUUAGCAAUCAACAGUUGAAUGAAAGUGGAUUUUACAGGGUUUAUAAUCUAAAGACUCAAAGUAUUUCCUGAUAAACCAACAAAAGCUUUUUAUAGGUGGAAGCUGAGUUCUGCUCAGUAGUGUCUCCGGUGUCCUCAUGGUCCAGACUUCUUCUGUCCUGUCUUGAGUCGGACCUGUGAGACACACAAACAGGUUUUGUCCUCAGUGACGCCACAAAACGACUAAUUAAAGACACAAAAUGACUACAAAGAGACUCAAAACAACUACAAAGAGACACAAAACAACUACUUAAAGAUACAAAACAACUACUUAAAGACACAAAAUGACUACAAAGAGACACAAAAUGACUACAAAGAGACACAAAACAACUAAUUAAAGACACAAAACGACUACAAAGAGACUCAAAACAACUACAAAGACACAAAAUGACUACAAAGAGACACAAAAUGACUACAAAGAGACACAAAACAACUAAUUAAAGACACAAAACGACUACAAAGAGACUCAAAACAACUACAAAGACACAAAAUGACUACAAAGAGACACAAAACGACUACAAAGAGACACAAAACAACUAGUUAAAGACACAAAGUGACUACAAAGAGACACAAAACGACUACAAAGAGACACAAAACGACUACAAAGAGACACAAAACAACUAGUUAAAGACACAAAGUGACU